CUCCCUCACUCUCAUUUCCUGCCUUCCCUGACCUCCGCCCUCCACCCAUGCGUCGCCUCCCUACUGCCUCCUACCAUGGCCUCCGACGAGCUCCUCUACCGCUUGUCCUCUCUCCACCUCCCCUCUCUGUCUGUCACGCUUCUUCUUUGCUGUCGCCGGCCACAAAUCCGCGCUCCCCCGCCUCCACCGCCACCCCACCCAGCUUUGAGGCACCACCGGAGCCGCCUCCAUUGCGAACCGCUCCCUCGCUAACCGCUAUGAAUCUCGAUGCCCCCGCGCAACCGUCCGUCCACCGCCACCACCGCCAAGCCAGCAGCCUCCCCGAGCCUCCCUCUAAGCCGAUGCACCGUCACCGACCCGAGCGGCCUCCGCCACCACCGCCGCCUCCAUCCUUCGGCCCCACGGCUCAGCCGACCUCCCCUUGCUCCUCCACCACCACCACCAGCUCCACUGCCGUGGUCAUCGCCGACCUGGAUGAACUGCUCCUCAUGGCCCUACCACCGUUGGCGUCGGAGCCGCGGAGCUUCCCGUAUGUGGUGAAGCAGCAGUGCUGGGAGAAGGUGGAGCGAGUGCCCAGGCGUGACCCAGAGAGGUGGCGCCGUGACGCGCUCGACAACGUUGUCUUCCGCAAACUCGUCGGAUGCCCCGGCAGCCUCUGCCACGACUACAACCACAUCGUCCCCUACUCCAAGGAGGCAUUUUGAGUGGAUGGGGCUGGAGCUGGAGCUGCGAGAUAGUAUUGCUAGCAGGAAUAAUUUGAAGGCAAAUUUCCAAUGGAAAUCCAUGGUUGCAGGUUUAACAUGCAGCUUCGUGCCUAUUUUUAAAUUUUCAUCUGUUGAUACAGACUCCCAUAGAGUUUUCUAAUAAAGGGGCUCACAGCUGUCUGUUCCGGUUGCUGGGACUUUCUCAUCUGUCCAGCCAGUGCAACAUUGGUAUGCUAUCAUCGCCGCCAUGCCAGCUCCCGACUAGAAGGGACUGCAAGAGGAGACCCUUCUGCUAACAGAAAGGCAACAAAGUGAAGCAGCUAGCACUGCACUAGCUGAAUCUCAAGCGAGAAAUGAAGCAUUAGCAAGCAAGCUUGAAGACGCUGUGAAACAAAAUGAUCUCCUCUGUGAAACUGUUAAAAGGUUUGUUGUUCCAGAAACUACUGUAAGCAGCACUCAGAUGUGCUGUUUUGGGGACCCAAAUGACUUUAUUUAGUGGUAACAUUUUGUGAGAUAGCAUGAUUCGAUUAUCAUUAAAAUAGAAUUGCCCCCCUGAGGAUCUCUGCAAUUUGGCUGUUUUGAGGGGCCGGGACCAAUCACACUAACUUUCAUUGCUUAUAGUUAUCCUCUAUUCAUCAUUUUUGUGCUGCCACAUUUUUUCCUCCAUAUUAUAAGAUCUACAGAGAGCCAUCAAACAAGGCUUGCAUUCAGAAAAUGUAUACAGAGUUUGUUUGAUUCAGAUUUUUAUGCAGAAGCCUUUAGAUGUAUUAU